CUUCGCCAUGGAGGCCCCCCACCCAUUCCACUCCGGGGUUGCGGCCACGCACCAUAAGAGCACCUUCAGAUCCCGGAUCUAGGGCUCUAGUGGUCUCGGCCGGAGGGAAGGUGACGCGCAGUGGGCGCAGACGCAGAGUGCGGGGCGCCGAACGUGGGAAGGAGCGGGUUCAGCGCGCUGGGAAUGAAAGGAGUUGAUCCUGACUCCAAGAUGCAUUCCAAAGAAAGAAAACGCAACUGUAGC
rnacentral:lncRNA from 1 species